UAGUUCAAAGAACUUUUGGGGUUCUGUAUAAAGGAAUAGGGAAAUAAGACCUCAUCUCCCCAGGAGCUUCUGCCAGAGGAAAAGAAUCCAACAGCAGAUAGAAAAGGGUUAACAAGUGUCCCUUCUAUCUGCCCUUCCUUCAGGUAUGGGAAAGAUGAAAGAACAGUAAAGAGGGAGCCUGUGUGUGUGCAGAUGCAGGACUCCUCCUGAAGACCAUUUCCCUUGAUGGAUAUUUUGCAGAAGUUUGGAGACCCGGGACAAGUCCCCUAGUCCAGCACUGUGCUCCCCCACUGCUGGAGGUCCUCACUUCUACCCCAGGCCCUGUCUCUGCUUCCUGGAUGUUCACACAGUAAGAAGACAAAACAGUCACCAUCCUGUGCCAGAACUGGAUGUGCUGAGAAGAGGCCCUACCAGUGGGAGGGUCCAGUCCUCGAAGUGUUGGGGAUGAAACCCGUUCUCUCCUUGUCUGGGAGGCCAGGGUGUGGCUGGAGACCUGGAUGCCAGAGCGCCACAUCCUAGGCUGCCCGGUGCCCCACAUGGCCCUUGCUCCAGGGCCAUUUGUUCAUCCAGUGAAUCCUUCUGGAACUCUGUCAGCUGGGCCCACAGGCCUCCCCCAGAGCCCUAGGCAGUGACCCUGGCCAAGGAACAGUGCAAGUGUCAAGGGGGACAGAAACUGGGAGAAGAUUGUUUGUGCAGCCUGGGGACGAUGGAGGCCCCGGAGGAGCUGAGGCCUGAAGGGUGAGUAGGCUCAGGAAUCUAGGCCAUGACUGCUCUUGCGUGUGAUAGAAAUACCAUGUGACGCGUAGGAUCAUAAGCAUGGGCUGGUGUGCAUGAGGCUGAUGAGAGGCAGCCUCUUUGGAGACAUUUGAGUUCCUGAUGGGAUUCCACGCUGCCCAGCCCAGAGCUGUGUGUGUGUGCGCGUGUGUGACAUGCUGGGAGAAACAACGUAGCAUGAGCAUAAAGAGCCUAGAAAUCAGACUGCCUUGGUUCAAAUCUUGGCUCUGUCCCUUAAUGGCUGGGUGAUCUUGGGCAAGUUUCUUAUCCCCUCUCACCUCAGUUUUCCCACCUACAAAACAGCAUUCUGUCUCCCACGUUUGUGAUGGAGAUGACAAGACCUACUGCCUGUACUGUAGCAACCACCCACUCAGUGUUGAUGUUAACAGCAGGACGAUUGGACACAGGGCAUCCUCCCCAGCCUGGGGAAACUGCUCUGUGGCUGUGGAUUUAUUCUCCCCCUUUCUUCAUCAGGUUCUGCCCCUGGUCCCUGCUCUCUGGCCCCACUAUCCAGGGGAUGACAUCAGACUAUGGAGCGGCUGGGCAGACAAUGGAACAGAGUGUCCUAGAAGGCCAGAGGUGCUGGGGGAGGCAGAGGGUGGAAAAAGCCAAGCUGCCAUGCCCCAGAGGCCUCAGGGCUGGUCUAGAGACAGCCAGCACCAGAACAAGCCUCUGAAGAGGCAAA